rnacentral:lncRNA from 1 species
GCUGGACUUGGGCAACACUUAAGUAAAAUGAUGCGUUUCAAGCUGCAAAUUCCUAAGGGAUCAUUCAUACUCGUGAUUCACUUCAGAGAAACACUAUUUCGAGCAUUUCAUUUAGCAACGAGAGCACAAGCACCCAAAAGCUAGGGUUCGUGAAAGGAGAGCAAAAGGAAGCCGACCCAAAAUGCAAAUCGAACCGGAGAAGCAAAUCAGAAGGAGUGUUGAGUUGGAACAGUUGGAGACCAGGUUCAGAGUUAGUUGAAGGCCAAACGAGAAGCUUCUGAGUUAGUUUGUGAUUCCUCCCCUUUUCCCCUUUUCUCUUUUUUUUUUUUUUUCUGUUUUCGAUCUUUUCCUAUAAAAGGAAGUCUUUAUAAUGAACAAUGUGUGUGCACUAGGUGACAGACGAUGUACUUAGCUUAGGGUUUCCAAUUCUCU